AGCGAGAGAACUGUUGUUAAGGAACUCGGCAAAAUGACCCCGUAACUUAGGGAUAAGGGGUGCCACCAUCAGGUGGCCGCAGAGAAUAGGCCCAAGCGACUGUUUACCAAAAACAUAGGUUUCUGCUAAGUCGCAAGACGAUGUAUAGGAGCUGACGCCUGCCCGGUGCUGGAAGGUUAAGGGGAUCUGUUAGAGCAAUCGAAGCAGUGAACUUAAGCCCCAGUAAACGGCGGCCGUAACUAUAACG
rnacentral:rRNA from 1 species